rnacentral:tRNA from 1 species
GGGAUCUUAUUUUAAUAUAAAAUAUAUAACUUGCAUUUAUAAGAUUUAGAUUCUA